rnacentral:lncRNA from 1 species
GGCAAGCAAGCUACAUCUCUCCUAUUACCUCACUCCCAGCUCCUUAUUUUGGUCAUCUUACUAGAUAGCUCUCCCCCUUGUCCUAACCAAUUUAUGGCGUUGUUGAGGUUGGAAGGAACUCCUGAGGUGGUUGGAGACGAUUAACAAGGAAUACAAAGGUGGGAACAGAAGUUGGCAACUUGUUUUCCCCAUCACUUAUAAACCAAAAAGUAUCCCAAAAAUUUCCAACAGUUUUAACCAACACCAUUCCAGAGUCUCCUUUAUAUCAUAAUAAUUACCCUUUGCAAAUAUAGGAAUCUCACCCAAACCAUCAUCAUCACAUCUAAAAUCAAGCUUUAAUCAAAAUUCAAAUCCAUAACCAUACCAACUACCUUAAAACUCCAACAAGCCGAAACCCAAACCCGAAAAUCCAAUAAAAGCAACCUCUCUUUGGCGGUCAGAGAAUCAACCGGCGACAGUAUUGAAAUGGCGAUGCAUGGCGAUGGUUUGCAAAGGAGAGGGAACCCAAUUUUUCUGUCCUCCUUUCGUGAUGGUGAAGAAUGAUAUUUUUAUUUUAUUUUAUUUUACAAGCCUUGAUAUUAAGGCCAACAAGAAUUUCAACCCAAUAUUAGCAGAUCAACCAGUAGAAAUUACAUGACAAAUAUGUGUUGAUUUUAAAAAAAAAAUGAAAAGCGAUUUUUGUUUUAAUUUAUAUACGAUGCUUUGGUUGGUUAUAUAUGACUUCUAAUUUAAUUUUUAAAUGAUUCCACUUAUAUGAUUUUAAUUUUUGUUCUAAUCUUUGGUGAAACUAAUUUUAUUUAAAAUUAAUUAUGAUAUUUAUAAUCACACAAAAUUACAAUUUUAACAUUUACCUCGUAUGAAGUAAUUGCUUUAAAAUCUUGUUACCCAUAAAAAUUGAAACAACUUAUAAUAAAAGUCAUAACAAAUUCCUAUAUGAUGUUAAUGAAUUCUUUCUUCGGAUGAUAUUUUUAAUUUUAGAGGUUGCUAAAAUGGGUACUAAUUUUGAAACAUUGAGAAAUUUCCUUCUUGUAGGGAAAGCAAGUGAAUAUUGGUGGAUUGGGUUGCUUGCAGCACAGUUGCUUCUUGUAGUGUGAUAU